rnacentral:rRNA from 1 species
CCCGGCGACCGGCGCACGGGUGCGUAACGCGUAUGCAACCUACCUUUAACAGGGGCAUAACACUGAGAAAUUGGUACUAAUUCCCCAUAACAUUCGAGAAGGCAUCUUUUAUGGUUGAAAAUUCCGAUGGUUAGAGAUGGGCAUGCGUUGUAUUAGCUAGUUGGUGGGGUAACGGCUCACCAAGGCGACGAUACAUAGGGGGACUGAGAGGUUAACCCCCCACACUGGUACUGAGACACGGACCAG